ensembl:lncRNA
AACACUGCCAUGACGACAAGUCAUAGAGGGAAGGACUCUCUCUAUUCAGUAUGGUUCUAGAAAGGUUAGAGGGACGUCUACAGGAACUAGAUGCUGACAGACCACGUCUGAAAAGGCAAGCACAGAGCAGAGAAUAAACUCGGAGAGGAGGGACAGGUUUCGACCGAGCUCUUUCGAACAGCAAGGGCACAUUACUUUAACGUCCAAAAUCAGUGUCACGAACAGACAACCAAGUGCUUUGAUGUGCAAAACUAUUCUCUCCUGCUGAUACCAAGAUAAAAGGCCAGGAACCCAUAGGCUUCUAGGAGGGAAGAGGAUCCUAUACUGACAGCAGGAGAGGAAAGAAGGACCUCCAGUCUAAACCUUGAUGAAAGCUUAGGAGAUGCUACUGUUGAAGUCUUAGCCUCAGAACUGUGAGAGCACAGAUCCAAAUAAAACGGUGAAAACUAAACUCCGAUUGUGUUUUGGUGUGUGCACUGUUCCGUGGUGGUGUAAGGAAGGCAGCUCAGCAGUUAAGUGCACGUACUCUUCUUGCAGAAGACACAAGUUUGGUUUUCUGAACCCACAUGGCAGGUAACAGCAGCAACUGAAGUUCCAGGUGACCCCCUCUCAUGAAGUCCAAGGGAGCUGCAUGUUCAUGGUGCACAGACAUAGGCGAAAUACUCAUAUGGAUAAAAUUAAAAUAAACAGAU